GAAGCCAGGCCAAGAAGAAUCCCAGGACUGGAAGGCCUUGUGGGACGUCCCAGGUUUGUCUUGUGUCAAUAGCACUGAUACUCAAUCUCCUACUCCCAUCUGUGAGCAUGCAGACCCUACUUGCCUUCCCACAGCCUCCCUUUUCAUAUUUUUCAUGUUUCUUUAGCUCUGUCUUCAAGCCUUGUUGCUCCCGCAAAAAAACCUGCCUCUUCCUCCAGUCCUCCCAAGCAGGGGGAACAGUCCUGACACCUUUCCAAGCCCUGGUCCAUGGACAUUGUGCCCCCUUCUCCCUGCCCAUGGUGACCUGCUCCAAAACCCUCAAGGAGAAGGGAGUGUAUGUCAUUUCCUCCCUGUAAAGUAAAGAUAAUUUUGCAGGGGACUGUGUGGAUGAAAUGACAUGAUGCAUGGAAAUCCCUUAGCGUGUGCCUGGCAUGUAAACUGCAGGUGUCAUCAUUAUUACUGAGGAAUACUGAGUCCCGAACAUGGCUGUCUCAUUGGUGGACUGGGGUCUCCCCCAGGGCAUUCAUCUACUAUGUGUUUAUUGCACCCUUUUUCCAUGUGAGGCACAUGCCAGGGACUGGGCACAUGGUAUGAACAAGACACAGGUCAUCGGUGUCCUCUUGAGCUCCCUGGCUUGGCAGCAGAUGCAUACCUGGGAAGGAUGCUAGGUCAUCCGGGAACUCUACCUCCUUCAAAUCCCUAAGGACUGUGCUCCCAAUCCGCUUACGCUCAAGGAAGAACUGCCUGGAAGCCCUCCCUGGUACCAUACCCCAGCCGAUGAGUAUGUACCCCCAGAAGUACUUCCGCUCAGAGAAGAAGGAGACGGCAAGCAGGGUGUACAGGAAGGCCCAGAACCAGCCUGCUGUCAGGAUCAGAACAAAAGAGGAGGACUGCAUAUGUCCCUUCCCGUGGAUAUAAUUCUUCCCAGGCCUGUUGUGUGAGUUGGUGAUGCCAUCAUUCCUGCCUCACACUUGCAAACUUCCCUCUUUGGAAUUUCAGAGACCAGGCCCACAGAGUAUGGCUGUGCAAGUUGUUCACUCUACAAGGGCACCUGGCCGGGGUCUUACCUUGAAUGGAGGAGAAGAGCUUGAAGAUGAGGGGACAGGCCAAGACAACUACCUGGCCCCGAGGGGUGGCUGGCCAGCAGAUGAGGAAAUGGAGGCACAGACUGAUUAGAAAACCAGCUCAAGGUCAUGUUGCUGGGCUCUCUGGUGGAGCCUCUGUCUCACAGGUCACCUGCAGGCCAACACUCCCAGAAGCAGCUAGCACCAUGGUUGACCUCGUCCAGGUCCAGGGAAGGCCUCCCUCUCCAGGACUCCUUUAGAUUUCCCCAGCAUCCAGACCUCACCUGCCUAAGUGCUGUUGCCCUGGAAGCCACAGUGAGCACGAGCUCCAUCUUGCACCUUUACCAGCCAAUGGGGGUAAAGACAUUAGCUGAAAUACUUCUAAGGGGCCAGGCGUGGUGACUCAUGCUUGUAAUUCCAAGCACUUUGGGAGGCUGAGGCAGGUGGAUCACCUGAAGCCAGGAGUUCAAGAGCAGCCUGGCCAACAUGGCGAAACCCUGUCUCUACUAAAAAUACAAAAUUUAGCCAGGCAUGGUGGCGGGAGCCUGUAAUCUCAGCUCCUAGGGAGGCUGAGCCAGAAGAAUCGCUUAAACCUGGAAGCUGGAGGUUGCAGUGAGCCAAGAUCACACCACCACACUCCAGCCUGGGUGACAGAGCAAGACUCCAUCUCAAAAAGAAAAAAAAGAAAAAAAGGAAAUACUUCUAAGUUAUGUGAGAGAGUACAUACUGACAUUUUCAAUGGGUACAAUAA
rnacentral:lncRNA from 1 species